GGGGAAGUAGCUCAAUGGUAGAGCGCUUGCAUGGUAUGAGCAAGCUCUGGGUUUGAUUCUCAGCACCACUA
rnacentral:tRNA from 1 species